rnacentral:rRNA from 1 species
GACGAACGCUGGCGGCGUGCCUAAUACAUGCAAGUCGAGCGAGCGGAACUAACAGAUUUACUUCGGUAAUGACGUUAGGAAAGCGAGCGGCGGAUGGGUGAGUAACACGUGGGGAACCUGCCCCAUAGUCUGGGAUACCACUUGGAAACAGGUGCUAAUACCGGAUAAGAAAGCAGAUCGCAUGAUCAGCUUUUAAAAGGCGGCGUAAGCUGUCGCUAUGGGAUGGCCCCGCGGUGCAUUAGCUAGUUGGUAAGGUAAAGGCUUACCAAGGCGAUGAUGCAUAGCCGAGUUGAGAGACUGAUCGGCCACAUUGGGACUGAGACACGGCCCAAACUCCUACGGGAGGCAGCAGUAGGGAAUCUUCCACAAUGGACGCAAGUCUGAUGGAGCAACGCCGCGUGAGCGAAGAAGGUUUUCGGAUCGUAAAGCUCUGUUGUUGGUGAAGAAGGAUAGAGGUAGUAACGG